rnacentral:rRNA from 2 species
AACGCUGGCGGCGUGCGUAACACAUGCAAGUCGAACGAGAAUGUACUGACAGAUCCUUAGGGUGAAGAUAGUACAGGACAGUGGCGGAUGGGUGAGUAACGCGUAAGAAACCUGCCUUUCACACCGGGAUAGCAGCUGGAAACGGCUAUUAAUACCGGAUGACACUUUUUCCCCGCAUGAGGAAGAGGUUAAAGAAUUUCGAUGAAAGAUGGUCUUGCGUCUGAUUAGCUAGUUGGUGGGGUAACGGCCUACCAAGGCGACGAUCAGUAGCCGGCCUGAGAGGGUGUACGGCCACAUUGGGACUGAGACACGGCCCAAACUCCUACGGGAGGCAGCAGUGGGGAAUUUUGCACAAUGGAGGAAACUCUGAUGCAGCGACGCCGCGUGAACGAAGAAGGUCUUCGGAUUGUAAAGUCCUGUCCUGGGUGAAGAUAAUGACGGUAACUCAGGAGGAAGCCCCGGCUAACUACGUGCCAGCCGCCGCGGUAA